CCCUGGUUAGCUCAGUUGGUAGAGCGCUCCACCUGUAAUGGACUGGGCCCGGGUUCGAUACCCGGACCAGGCG
rnacentral:tRNA from 2 species